AGUACACUGUGAUAUGAAACCACGUGAUCCAAACAUGAUUUCCCUUGUUGGCCAUAUUGUUGGCGCCGAGAGAGAGUUUUUUUUCUCAUUUCCCCCUCCAACUUUAUUUUUAAGGAAGUGUGUAUGUGCAGUUUAUACCUCGUGUCUCAAGUGGAGUUAGGGGCUUUCAGUGUCACAUAUUUGGAAAACUGUCAUAGACUAUACAACAAACUAAAUUAAAGAACAAGCCCUGGUCCUCACCUGCAAAGUCUCCCCAGAGAGAGAUGCAAAAUAUAUUCGGCAACACGUUAGCUCAUUAGGCCUUAUAAAAAUUGAAUGCAAAAUGCCUACAAACAGCUACAAAGACAUGCAGAAUAUCAACAAGUUGCAUGGUGUGACACAGAAAACAUUUGCAUCAACACAGCAGCGUCUUUUUCUGUCUCUUCAAGUCUUCUUCCCUUAUGGAAGACACAUGUCAAGGCCUUUGACAUGUUGGUGCCUAGGGGUCCAUUGUUUUAUCCAUGGAGUUAGGAUUGCCUGAUGGAAGAAAAGACAAGCACAUCCUCCAUCCACAGUGGCUGUUUGCCCAGCAGGCACACUAAUAAGGCUGAUGCAACAGCGUGGAGCAGCGCGGGUUGACGGGAGUCACAACGUCUGCUGUGACGGGGGCCUAGGGCGAAAUCUGAGAAAUGUAUUCAAGCGAUGUGCCUUGCCCCCGCGCACAACGGAGACUGAAGACUGUAAUUCUGAAGAUGAAAAGAAUCAGGAGGUGUGGAGUUAGAAAGACCUCUGUAUCCUGCUCCUCAUCUCUGCUCGAGGCUAUAGAAGCUACCUCAGCUUCUAUAGCGACCAAGCCAGCUACCAAUCUCAUGUAUUAAUUCUCUGUGAGUUAU